CCUACGGGAGGCAGCAGUGGGGAAUAUUGGGCAAUGGAGGCAACUCUUACCCAGCAAUGCCGCGUGAAUGAAGAAGGUCUUCGGAUUGUAAAGCUCUUUAGUUGGGGACGAAAAAAAUGACGUUACCCAAGUAAUAAGCCCCUGCUUACUACGUGCCAGCAGCCGCGGUACGACGUAGGGGGCAAUCGUUGUUCGGAAUGACUGGGCGUAAGGGGGGUGGAGGGGGUGUAGAAAGUUAGAAGUGAAAUACCUAGGGCUUAACUCAGUUGCUGCUUCUAAAACUGCGAUACUUGAGGGCAGUAGAGGAAAGUGGAAUUCCUAGUGUAGGGGUGGAAUGCGUAGAUAUUAGGAGGAACAUCAGUGGCGAAGGCGACUUUCUGGACUGUAACUGACGCUGAGGCACGAAAGUGUGGGGAGCAAACAGGAUUAGAUACCCCUGUAGUC
rnacentral:rRNA from 1 species